UCAUAGCUCAGUUGGUAGAACACAAGACACUGAAUCUCAGGGUUGUGGGUUCAAGCCCUAUAUUGGGCAAAA